ACUCAAAUGAAUAGACGGGGACCCGCACAAGCGGUGGAUUAUGUGGAUUAAUUCGAUGCAACGCGAAAAACCUUACCUACCCUUGACAUGUCCGAGAGGCUCCAGAGAUGGGGCUGUGCCCGAAAGGGAAUCGGAACACAGGUGCUGCAUGGCUGUCGUCAGCUCGUGUCGUGAGAUGUUGGGUUAAGUCCCGCAACGAGCGCAACCCUUGUCAUUAGUUGCUACCCGCAAGGGAGCACUCUAAUGAGACUGCCGGUGACAAACCGGAGGAAGGUGGGGAUGACGUCAAGUCCUCAUGGCCCUUAUGGGUAGGGCUUCACACGUAAUACAAUGGCGCGUACAGAGGGUUGCCAAGCCGCGAGGUGGAGCCAAUCCCUUAAAAGCGCGUCGUAGUCCGGAUUGCAGUCUGCAACUCGACUGCAUGAAGUCGGAAUCGCUAGUAAUCGCGGAUCAGCAUGUCGCGGUGAAUACGUUCCCGGGUCUUGCACACACCGCCCGU
rnacentral:rRNA from 1 species